rnacentral:rRNA from 1 species
UACGUAGGGUGCAAGCGUUGUCCGGAAUUAUUGGGCGUAAAGAGCUCGUAGGCGGUUUGUCGCGUCUGCUGUGAAAUCCCGAGGCUCAACCCCGGGCCUGCAGUGGGUACGGGCAGACUAGAGUGCGGUAGGGGAGAUUGGAAUUCCUGGUGUAGCGGUGGAAUGCGCAGAUAUCAGGAGGAACACCGAUGGCGAAGGCAGAUCUCUGGGCCGUAACUGACGCUGAGGAGCGAAAGCGUGGGGAGCGAACAGG